CCUACGGGGGGCAGCAGUGGGGAAUAUUGGACAAUGGGGGGAACCCUGAUCCAGCCAUGCCGCGUGUGUGAAGAAGGCCCUCGGGUUGUAAAGCACUUUCAGUGAGGAAGAACGCCUGGUGGUUAAUACCCAUCAGGAAAGACAUUACUCACAGAAGAAGCACCGGCUAACUCCGUGCCAGCAGCCGCGGUAAUACGGAGGGUGCGAGCGUUAAUCGGAAUUACUGGGCGUAAAGCGCGCGUAGGUGGCUUGAUAAGCCGGUUGUGAAAGCCCCGGGCUCAACCUGGGAACGGCAUCCGGAACUGUCAAGCUAGAGUGCAGGAGAGGAAGGUAGAAUUCCCGGUGUAGCGGUGAAAUGCGUAGAGAUCGGGAGGAAUACCAGUGGCGAAGGCGGCCUUCUGGACUGACACUUACACUGAGGUGCGAAAGCGUGGGUAGCAAACAGGAUUAGAUACCCUGGUAGUC
rnacentral:rRNA from 1 species